UACGUAGGGUGCAAGCGUUAUCCGGAAUUAUUGGGCGUAAAGAGCUCGUAGGCGGUGUGUCACGUCGGCCGUGAAAACCUGCAGCUUAACUGUGGGCGUGCGGUCGAUACGGGCAUCACUGGAGUUCGGCAGGGGAGACUGGAAUUCCUGGUGUAGCGGUGAAAUGCGCAGAUAUCAGGAGGAACACCGGUGGCGAAGGCGGGGUCUCUGGGGCCGAUACUGACGCUGGAGGAGCGAAAGCGUGGGGAGCAAACAGG
rnacentral:rRNA from 1 species